rfam:Dipodomys ordii contig_1283, whole genome shotgun sequence.
GGUGGCUCAGUGGUAGAGCGCUUGCCUUGUAUGCCUGAGGCCCUGGGUUCAAUUCCUCAGCACCA